AGGAGUUUAGGAUACUAUACUAAACCAUAGACCUUCAAAGUCUAAAAAAAAGGCGAAAACCCUCUAACUCCUG
rnacentral:tRNA from 1 species